rnacentral:rRNA from 1 species
GACGAACGCUGGCGGCGUGCUUAACACAUGCAAGUCGAACGAUGAAGCCCAGCUUGCUGGGUGGAUUAGUGGCGAACGGGUGAGUAACACGUGGGCAACCUGCCCCAAACUCUGGGAUAACUCCUCGAAAGAGGUGCUAAUACCGGAUACGAACUAGGUAGACAUCUGCACUAGUUGGAAAGUUUUUCGGUUUGGGAUGGGCCCGCGGCCUAUCAGCUUGUUGGUGAGGUAACGGCUCACCAAGGCUACGACGGGUAACCGGCCUGAGAGGGGGACCGGUCACACUGGGACUGAGACACGGCCCAGACUCCUACGGGAGGCAGCAGUGGGGAAUAUUGCGCAAUGGGCGAAAGCCUGACGCAGCGCCGCCGCGUGAGGGAUGAAGGUCUUCGGAUCGUAAACCUCUUUCAGUAGGGACGAAGCGAAAGUGACGGUACCUAAAGAAGAAGCACCGGCUAACUACGUGCCAGCCGCCGCCGUAA